CCUACGGGAGGCAGCAGUGGGGAAUAUUGCGCAAUGGGCGAAAGCCUGACGCAGCGACGCCGCGUGAGGGAUGAAGGUCUUCGGAUCGUAAACCUCUGUCAGCAGGGAAGAACGGUCACUGUGCUAAUCAGCAGUGAAUUGACGGUACCUGCACAUGCAGCACCGGCUAACUCCGUGACAGCAGCCGCGGUAAUAAGGAGGGUGCGAGCGGUAAUUGGAAUUACUGGGCGGAAAGCGCUCGUAGGAGGUAGGUCAAGUAAACGGUGAAAUCCCCGGGCUCAACCUGGGCACGGACUUUGAAAUGGGCAAAAUGGAGUGUGUGAGAGGAUGGUGGAAGUCCAGGUGUAGGAGUGAAAUCCGUAGAUAUCAGGAGGAACAUCAGUGGCGAAGGCGACUAUCUGGCACAUAACUGACGCUGAGGAGCGAAAGCGUGGGUAGCAAACAGGAUUAGAUAACCUUGUAGUC
rnacentral:rRNA from 1 species